CUCUCUCUCAACUCCAGAAUUGAUCAAAUCAAAUAAUCUAGAAGCAAAAAAUAAUCAAAUAAUAAAAAUUAAAGGAUGAAAUUAAGGAGGAGAGUUUUAGAGACGGAAAAAAGGUGCAUACAUACAUACAUGUGGUGUGAAGGGAGAAAAGGUUAAUAAUGGGAAAUUGAAAUUAACGAAGAAGACAAAGUUGAAAUGGAGACGCAAUUAAUGUCGACGAUGUAAACUAAAGAAGGAGAUUCUUCGAUGAGAUGCGUAGAUGCCACCUAGUACGGUUACUUCUUGAUAUUAUCAUUCCAUUUUUUUUUCUUUCUUGUUCUAUGUUGUCUCAAAUGUGAUUAGUUCUUGUAAAAAAAAAAGUGAAUUGUUA
rnacentral:lncRNA from 1 species